rnacentral:rRNA from 1 species
GACGAACGCUGGCGGCGUGCUUAACACAUGCAAGUCGAACGGAAAGGCCCUGCUUUUGUGGGGUGCUCGAGUGGCGAACGGGUGAGUAACACGUGAGUAACCUGCCCUUGACUUUGGGAUAACUUCAGGAAACUGGGGCUAAUACCGGAUAGGAGCUCCUGCUGCAUGGUGGGGGUUGGAAAGUUUCGGCGGUUGGGGAUGGACUCGCGGCUUAUCAGCUUGUUGGUGGGGUAGUGGCUUACCAAGGCUUUGACGGGUAGCCGGCCUGAGAGGGUGACUGGCCACAUUGGGACUGAGAUACGGCCCAGACUCCUACGGGAGGCAGCAGUGGGGAAUAUUGCACAAUGGGCGGAAGCCUGAUGCAGCAACGCCGCGUGCGGGAUGACGGCCUUCGGGUUGUAAACCGCUUUCGCCUGUGACGAAGCGCGAGUGACGGUAAUGGGUAAAGAAGCACCGGCUAACUACGUG